UAUUCAUUUGCCUCCCGGCCUA
rnacentral:miRNA from 1 species